ensembl:lncRNA
GGGUGAUAGGGGGCUAUGGGGUGGUGUGGGGUUAUGGGGUGGUGUGGGGAUAUGGGGUAAUAUGGGGCUAUGGGGUGGUGUGGGGUUAUGGGGUUAUGGGGGGAUAUGGGGUGAUAGGGGGCUAUGGGGUGGUGUGGGGUAUGGGGUUAUGGGGUGAUAUGGGGUUGUGGGGUGCUGGAGGUUAUGGGUUUAUGGGGUGAUGGGGGGUUAUGGGAUGGUGUGGGGUUAUGGGGGGGUAUGGGGAGGUAUGGGGGGGUUAUGGGGCGCUAUGGGGCACUGUGGGUCAGUUAUGGGGCGCUAUGGGGCUCUAUGAGGCACUAUGGGACUCUAUGGAUCUCUAUGUGUCUCUAUGGGGCAGUUAUGGGGCGGUUAUGGGUCUCUAUGUGUCUCUACGUGUCUCUAUGGCUCUCUAUGGCUCUCUGUGUCUCUAUGGGGCAGUUAUGGGGCAGUUAUGGGGCACUAUGUGUCCCUAUGGCUCUCUAUGUGUCUCUAUGUGUCCCUAUGGCUCUCUGUGUGUCUCUAUGGGGCGGUUAUGGAGCAGUUAUGGGGCGCUAUGGCUCUCUGUGUCUCUAUGUGUCCCUAUGUGUCUCUAUGUGUCUCUAUGGGGCAGUUAAGGGGCAGUUAUGGGGUGGUUAUGGGGCGGUUAUGGGGCAGCUGUGGGGCAGUUAUGGCUCUCUAUGGCUCUCUAUGUGUCUCUAUGUGUCUCUAUGGCUCUCUAUGUGCCCCUAUGGGGCAGUUAUGGGGCAGUUAUGGGGUGGUUAUGGGGCAGUUAUGGCUCUCUGUGUCUCUAUGUGUCUCUAUGUGUCCCUAUGUGUCUCUAUGUGUCUCUAUGGGGCAGUUAAGGGGCAGUUAUGGGGUGGUUAUGGGGCGGUUAUGGGGCAGUUCUGGGGCGGUUAUGGGGCGCUAUGGGGCGCUAUGUGUCUCUAUGUGUCUCUAUGUGUCUCUAUGUGUCCCUAUGGCUCUCUAUGUGCCCCUAUGGGGCAGUUAAGGGGCAGUUAAGGGGCGGUUAUGGGGCUGUUAUGGGGCGCUAUGGGGCACUAUGGGGCAGUUAUGGGGCAAUUAUGGGGCGGUUAUGGGGCGGUUAUGGCUCUCUAUGUGUCUCUAUGUGUCUCUAUGGGGCGGUUAUGGGGCAGUUAAGGGGCGGUUAUAGGGCGGUUAUGGGGCGGUUAUGGGGCGGCUAUGGGGCAGUUAUAUGGCGGUUAUGGCUCUCUAUGUGUCUCUAUGUGUCUCUAUGUGUCUCUAUGUGUCUCUAUGUGUCCCUAUGGCUGUCUAUGUGCCCCUAUGGGGCAGUUAAGGGGCAGUUAAGGGGCGGUUAUGGGGCAGCUAUGGGGCGCUAUGGGGCACUAUGGGGCGCUAUGGGGCAGUUAUGGGGCAAUUAUGGGGCGGUUAUGGCUCUCUAUGUGUCCUAUGUGUCCCUAUGUGUCUCUAUGUGUCCCUAUGGGGCGGUUAUGGGGCAGUUAUGGGGCGGUUAUGGGGCAGUUAUGGGGCGGCUAUGGGGCGCUUUGGGCUAGUUAUAUGGCGGUUAUGACUCUCUAUGUGUCCCUAUGUGUCUCUAUGUGUCUCUAUGGGGCGGUUAUGGGGCAGUUAUGGGGCGGUUAUGGGGCAGUUAUGGGGCGGCUAUGGGGCGCUAUGGGGCAGUUAUAUGGCGGUUAUGGCUCUCUAUGUGUCUCUAUGUGUCUCUAUGGGGCGGUUAUGGGGCAGUUAUGGGGCGGCUAUGGGGCACUAUGGGGCGCUAUGGGGCAGUUAUAUGGUGGUUAUGGCUCUCUAUGUGUCUCUAUGUGUCUCUAUGUGUCUCUAUGUGUCUCUAUGGGGCGGUUAUGGGGCGGUUAUGGGGUGGCUAUGGGGCAGUUAUGGGGCAAUUAUGGGGCGGUUAUGGGGCGGUUAUGGCUCUCUGUGUGUCUCUAUGUGUCUCUAUGGGGCGGUUAUGGGGCAGUUAAGGGGCAGUUAAGGGGCGGUUAUGGGGCAGCUAUGGGGCGCUAUGGGGCGGCUAUGGGGCGCACCCCCACCUGCGGCGCUGUUGCGGUACGCGAAGCCGUCGGGGGAGGGCCACGCGGCGGAGUCCAACUCGUACCAAUGGGCGCCGUCGGAGGGGGGCGCUGCGGAUCUGUGGGGCGGUUAUGGGGGACCCCAAAGCCGUCAGUCCACUGCGGGGCCACUGCCGACCCCACGGAUCGCUGCGCUCACCCCAUAACCCGUAACCCAUCACCCAUAACCCCAUAACCCAUAACCCCAUAACCCCAUAACCCUAUAACCCCAUAACCAAUCCCAUAACCCAUAACCCCAUAACCAACUCCAUAACCCCAUAACCCAUAACCCCAUAACCCAUAACCCCAUAACCCUAUAACCCCAUAACCAAUCCCAUAACGCAUAACCCCAUAACCAACUCCAUAACCCCAUAACCCAUAACCCCAUAACCCAUAACCCCAUAACCCUGUAACCCCAUAACCCUAUAACCCCAUAACCAAUCCCAUAACGCAUAACCCCAUAACCCCAUAACCCAUAACCCCAUAGCCAACCCCAUAACCCAUAACCCCAUAACCCAUAACCCAUAACCCUAUAACCCCAUAACCAAUCCCAUAACGCAUAACCCCAUAACCCCAUAACCCAUAACCCCAUAGCCAACCCCAUAACCCAUAACCCCAUAACCCAUAACCCAUAACCCUAUAACCCCAUAACCAAUCCCAUAACCCAUAACCCAUAACCCUAUAACCCCAUAAGCAACCCUGUAACCCGAUAAUCCAUAACCCCAUAACCCCAUACCAACCCCAUACCAACCCCAUAACCCCAUACCAACCCCAUAUCAACCCCAUAACCCCAUACCAACCCCAUAACCCCCCACCCCAUAAC